AGAGUUUGAUCCUGGCUCAGGACGAACGCUGGCGGCGUGCCUAACACAUGCAAGUCGAGCGAGGCAUUUAUGCCUAGCGGCGGACGGGUGAGUAACACGUGGGUAACCUGCCUCAAAGAGGGGAAUAGCCUUCCGAAAGGAAGAUUAAUACCGCAUAAUAUAUACUUUUAGCAUUAUGAGUAUAUCAAAGGAGCAAUCCGCUUUGAGAUGGGCCCGCGGCGCAUUAGCUAGUUGGAGAGGUAACGGCUCACCAAGGCGACGAUGCGUAGCCGACCUGAGAGGGUGAUCGGCCACAUUGGAACUGAGACACGGUCCAGACUCCUACGGGAGGCAGCAGUGGGGAAUAUUGCACAAUGGGGGAAACCCUGAUGCAGCAACGCCGCGUGAAUGAUGAAGGCCUUCGGGUCGUAAAGUUCUUUGAUGGGGGACGAUAAUGACGGUACCCCAAAAACAAGCCACGGCUAACUACGUGCCAGCAGCCGCGGUAAUACGUAGGUGGCGAGCGUUGUCCGGAUUUACUGGGCGUAAAGGAUGCGUAGGUGGAAAUUUAAGUGGGAUGUGAAAUCCCCGGGCUCAACCCGGGAACUGCAUUCCAAACUGGAUUUCUAGAGUGCAGGAGAGGAAAGCGGAAUUCCUAGUGUAGCGGUGAAAUGCGUAGAUAUUAGGAAGAACACCAGUGGCGAAGGCGGCUUUCUGGACUGUAACUGACACUGAGGCAUGAAAGCGUGG
rnacentral:rRNA from 1 species